UACGUAGGGUGCAAGCGUUGUCCGGAAUUAUUGGGCGUAAAGAGCUCGUAGGCGGUUCGUCGCGUCGGCUGUGAAAUCCCGAGGCUCAACCUCGGGUCUGCAGUCGAUACGGGCGGACUGGAGUACUGCAGGGGAGACUGGAAUUCCUGGUGUAGCGGUGGAAUGCGCAGAUAUCAGGAGGAACACCGAUGGCGAAGGCAGGUCUCUGGGCAUUAACUGACGCUGAGGAGCGAAAGCAUGGGGAGCGAACAGG
rnacentral:rRNA from 1 species